rnacentral:lncRNA from 1 species
UUUUGUGCAGCUGCAGCGUCUUCAGUAGGAAGAUGUAGAAGUUCUCCUUUUUGCGUGCCACUCUCAUUCUGUGACACUUCAUUUAAAGCCAUCUCUUCAAUCAAGUUGUACGCCUCAUCUUCAGUUUUUCUAUUAAGACUGCCUCCAGCUGAGGCAUCUAACAUCAUUUUAGAAUGAGCGCGCAAGCCUCCAAGGAACGCAAGCAAGUAUGAAGUUUUAUCGAAC